rnacentral:rRNA from 1 species
GACGAACGCUGGCGGCGUGCCUAAUACAUGCAAGUCGAACGCAGUGGGGACGGGUGGGUAACAAGUGGGUAACCUCCCAUCAGAGGGGAGAACACUUGGAAACAGGUGCUAAACCGAUACUGAUGGAUGGACCCUGGGUGCAUUAGCUAGUUGGGGAGGGAACGGCUCACCAAGGCCACGAUGCAGAGCGGGCCUGCGAGGGUGAUCGGCCACACUGGGACGGAGACACGGCCCAGACUCCUACGGGAGGCAGCAGUAGGGAAUCUGCGGCAAGGGACGAAAGUCUGCCCGAGCAACGCCGCGUGAGUGAAGAAGCUUUUCGGAUCGUAAAACCCUGUUGUUAGAGAAGCGGUAUCUGACCAGAAAGCCACGGCUAACUACGUGCCAGCAGCCGCGGUAAUAC